AUUGAACGCUGGCGGCAUGCUUUACACAUGCAAGUCGAACGGUAACAGGCCUUCGGGUGCUGACGAGUGGCGAACGGGUGAGUAAUUCAUCGGAACGUACCCUGAGGUGGGGGAUAACGCAGCUUAAGCUAUGCUAAUACCGCACGGGAUCUGAGGAUGAAAUCGGGGGACCGAGCAGCAAUGUUUCGCCUCUCGCCUUUGGAGCGGCCGAUGUUGGGUUAGAUAGUUGGUGGGUUGAAUGCCUACCAAGGCGACGAUCGGCAGCUGGUGUGAGUGACCGGCAACCCACAUUGGAGCUGGACCGGCGACAUGAGUACUACGGGAGGCAGCAGUGGGGAACUGUGGACAGUGGGGGGAAGCAUGAUCCAGCAAGGCCGCGUGCGAGAAGACGGCGUUCGGGUUGUAAACAGGUUUUGGCAGGAACAAAACGGUGUCCGCUAAUACCGGGCGCUAAUGACGGUACCUGCAGAAUAAGCACCGGCUAACUACGUG
rnacentral:rRNA from 1 species